UACAGAGGUCUCAAGCGUUGUUCGGAUUCAUUGGGCGUAAAGGGUGCGUAGGUGGCGCUGUAAGUCGGGUGUGAAAUUUCGGAGCUUAACUCCGAAACUGCAUUCGAUACUGCGGUGCUUGAGGACUGGAGAGGAGACUGGAAUUCAUGGUGUAGCAGUGAAAUGCGUAGAUAUCAAGAGGAACACCUGCGGCGAAGGCGGGUUGCUGGGCCGACACUGACGCUGAGUGCGCGAAAGCCAGGGGAGCGAACGGG
rnacentral:rRNA from 1 species